AGAGUUUGAUCAUGGCUCAGAAUCAACGCUGGCGGCGCGCUUAACACAUGCAAGUCGAACGAGAAAGUGGAGCAAUCCAUGAGUAAAGUGGCGCACGGGUGAGUAACACGUGGGUAAUCUGCCUCUGGGUGGGGAAUAACUCUGGGAAACCGGAGCUAAUACCGCAUAAGCCUGCAAGGGGAAAGGCGAAAGUCGCCGAGAGAGGAGCCCGCGGUCGAUUAGCUGGUUGGUGAGGUAAAGGCUCACCAAGGCUGUGAUCGAUAGCCGGCCUGAGAGGGCACACGGCCACACUGGCACUGAAACACGGGCCAGACUCCUACGGGAGGCAGCAGUGGGGAAUCUUGCACAAUGGGGGAAACCCUGAUGCAGCGACGCCGCGUGAGCGAUGAAGCCCUUCGGGGUGUAAAGCUCUUUCGGCAGGGACGAUAAUGACGGUACCUGAAGAAGAAGCUGCGGCUAACUACGUGCCAGCAGCCGCGGUAAUACGUAGGCAGCGAGCGUUGUUCGGAGUUACUGGGCGUAAAGAGUGCGUAGGCGGUGGCCCAAGUCUGGUGUGAAAUCUCCCGGCUCAACCGGGAGGGUGCGCCGGAAACUGGGUUGCUUGAGUACUGGAGAGGCAAGCGGAAUUCCUGGUGUAGCGGUGAAAUGCGUAGAUAUCAGGAGGAACACCCGUGGUGUAGACGGCUUGCUGGACAGUCAC
rnacentral:rRNA from 1 species